rnacentral:rRNA from 1 species
UACGUAGGGGGCAAGCGUUGUCCGGAUUUAUUGGGCGUAAAGAGCGUGUAGGCGGUUUGGUAGGUCCGUUGUGAAAACUCGAGGCUCAACCUCGAGACGCCGAUGGAAACCAUCAGACUAGAGUCCGGAAGAGGAGAGUGGAAUUCCUGGUGUAGCGGUGAAAUGCGCAGAUAUCAGGAGGAACACCAAUGGCGAAGGCAGCUCGCUGGGACGGUACUGACGCUGAGGCGCGAAAGCGUGGGGAGCGAACAGG